rnacentral:rRNA from 1 species
UACGAAGGGGGCUAGCGUUGCUCGGAAUCACUGGGCGUAAAGGGUGCGUAGGCGGGUCUUUAAGUCAGGGGUGAAAUCCUGGAGCUCAACUCCAGAACUGCCUUUGAUACUGAGGAUCUUGAGUUCGGGAGAGGUGAGUGGAACUGCGAGUGUAGAGGUGAAAUUCGUAGAUAUUCGCAAGAACACCAGUGGCGAAGGCGGCUCACUGGCCCGAUACUGACGCUGAGGCGCGAAAGCGUGGGGAGCGAACAGG